rnacentral:misc_RNA from 1 species
AAGACUAUAGACCUGCGGAGUACCUGCGGAAGGAUCAUUAAUGAAGCAUAAGGCUUGGAGGAUGUUGCUGGCCCCUUCUCCUUUUCCAGGAAUGGGGCAGGUGCACUCCUCACAUAGUCCUUUGACUUACCUUUUCACGAAACAAAACUUGUGUGCACCCUGUGUAGGUUUAGCUUUGCAUGCCGAACCUAUGUUUUUAUUCAUUUUGCUCCAUGAAUGUUCAUUUGAAUGUUGAUCUUU